CCUCCUCCUCCUCCUCCACACUCUCCAGUUUCUUCCCCAACAUGUAUGAAAACUAUUUUACCUGUUAGAACAAGGCUUGAUUCUUCUCCUUGUCAAACUCAAGCACCACCAUCUCCACACACUCCUCCACAAAAGGAUCAAGAGCAAAUAAGACUAAGACAUCCUCCUUCUCCACCAACUCCUCCUCCAAAGAAUGAAACACAUGCCAACGCUGGACCUUCUCAUUCCCCUCCACCUCCACCUCCACCUCCUUGUGUUUAUAGAAAAGCUGAAAGUCCUACUAUAGCACCACCACCUCCACCGCCGC
rnacentral:lncRNA from 1 species